rnacentral:lncRNA from 1 species
CGGCAGCUGCCUCUUGAUUUCCAUGAGUACUUGAGUCCUGGGUGCAUUCAACAAGGUGUAGUUGUUGUAUUUUCUCGAUGGUGACAAAGCUCGCCGAUUCCUCCUUUGAGGGCUUAUGGGCCGAGGGUUCCUCGGGAGCCCAUUCCUCUGAUGGCAGAAAGGUGAUCUUGAACGCCGACAUACUCUUGCCUCCCUUGCAAGCAAUGAGUCCUUGUUCUGUAUCCUAUCUCCGCCUCGUUCCACA